rnacentral:tRNA from 1 species
GGCUUGUGGCUCAGGGGUAGAGCACUGGCCUAGCAGGACUGAGACCCUGGGUUUGAUCCUCAGCACCA